UACGUAGGGUGCAAGCGUUAAUCGGAAUUACUGGGCGUAAAGCGUGCGCAGGCGGUUUUGUAAGUCUGACGUGAAAUCCCCGGGCUCAACCUGGGAAUUGCGAUGGAGACUGCAAGGCUAGAAUCUGGCAGAGGGGGGUAGAAUUCCACGUGUAGCGGUGAAAUGCGUAGAGAUGUGGAGGAACACCGAUGGCGAAGGCAGCCCCCUGGGUCAAGAUUGACGCUCAUGCACGAAAGCGUGGGGAGCAAACAGG
rnacentral:rRNA from 1 species